rnacentral:rRNA from 1 species
AUUGAACGCUGGCGGCAGGCCUAACACAUGCAAGUCGAACGAGUGGCGGACGGGUGAGUAAUGUCUGGGAAACUGCCCGAUGGAGGGGGAUAACUACUGGAAACGGUAGCUAAUACCGCAUACCAUCGGAUGUGCCCAUAGGGGAUUAGCUAGUAGGUGGGGUAACGGCGCACCUAGGCGACGAUCCCUAGCUGGUCUGAGAGGAUGACCAGCCACACGGGAACGGAGACACGGUCCAGACUCCUACGGGAGGCAGCAGUGGGGAAUAUUGCACAAUGGGCGCAAGCCUGAUGCAGCCAUGCCGCGUGUGUGAAGAAGGUCUUAGGAUUGUAAAGUACUUUAAGUGGGGAGGCGUUACCAACAGAAUAAGCACCGGCUAACUCCGUGCCAGCAGCCGCGGUAAUUC